rnacentral:tRNA from 1 species
UCCCUGGUGGUCCAGUGGUUAAGAGUCUGCACUGCCAAUGCAGGGGGUGUGGGUUCAAUCCCUGGUCUGGGAA